rnacentral:rRNA from 1 species
UACGGAGGGUGCAAGCGUUAUCCGGAUUCACUGGGUUUAAAGGGUGCGUAGGUGGGUUGGUAAGUCGGUGGUGAAAUCUCCAGGCUCAACUUGGAAACUGCCAUUGAUACUAUUAAUCUUGAAUACCGUGGAGGUCAGCGGAAUAUGUCAUGUAGCGGUGAAAUGCUUAGAUAUGACAUAGAACACCAAUUGCGAAGGCAGCUGGCUACACGAAUAUUGACACUGAUGCACGAAAGCGUGGGGAUCAAACAGG